rnacentral:rRNA from 1 species
UACGUAGGGGGCAAGCGUUGUCCGGAAUCAUUGGGCGUAAAGCGCGUGUAGGCGGUUCGGUAAGUCUGCUGUGAAAGUCCAGGGCUCAACCCUGGAAGGCCGGUGGAAACUGUCGGGCUAGAGUCCGGAAGAGGCGAGUGGAAUUCCCGGUGUAGCGGUGAAAUGCGCAGAUAUCGGGAGGAACACCAAUGGCGAAGGCAGCUCGCUGGGACGGUACUGACGCUGAGACGCGAAAGCGUGGGGAGCAAACAGG